UACCAUUUGCAUAGGGAAAUCUGCAUUAAUGGGGGGAGUCCAAAAUUUAACACAGACUUUCAUUUUUCUGUUUCUAUUGCAGAUUCUACAUAAGGAUUCCUACAGAGACUUUGUUUACUUGGCUGACACUCUAUUGUCUUUAGUAAUCUUUGGAUAUUGAAGUGAUUAAAGACUGCAAUGCUAGGUGCUAGAGACAGAGAGACGAAAAGACCUGAGACCCAAUCAUCGUCUGUUUCUUUUGGCACCUCACCGUGGAGACUUUGGAUUGCAGAAGGAGUCAGAAGUCUCCAAAUGGCCAGACUUUCCUUACCAAGUCUGCCGAAUUGA
rnacentral:lncRNA from 1 species